GACGAACGCUGGCGGCGUGCUUAACACAUGCAAGUCGAACGAAGGGCGAUGGAAGCUUGCUUCUAUCAAUCUUAGUGGCGAACGGGUGAGUAACGCGUAAUCAACCUGUCCUUCAGAGGGGGACAACAGUUGGAAACGACUGCUAAUACCGCAUACGAUCUAAUCUCGGCAUCGAGGAUAGAUGAAAGGUGGCCUCUACAUGUAAGCUAUCACUGAAGGAGGGGAUUGCGUCUGAUUAGCUAGUUGGAGGGGUAACGGCCCACCAAGGCGAUGAUCAGUAGCCGGUCUGAGAGGAUGAACGGCCACAUUGGGACUGAGACACGGCCCAGACUCCUACGGGAGGCAGCAGUGGGGAAUCUUCCGCAAUGGACGAAAGUCUGACGGAGCAACGCCGCGUGAGUGAUGACGGCCUUCGGGUUGUAAAGCUCUGUUAAUCGGGACGAAAGGCCUUCUUGCGAAUAGUGAGAAGGAUUGACGGUACCGGAAUAGAAAGCCACGGCUAACUACGUG
rnacentral:rRNA from 1 species